rnacentral:lncRNA from 1 species
AAGCGUCAAAACCCAAAUAUAUUUAAAGGUAUGAAUUUCAAUAAUUUUUUUUUUAAGAACGAAAGUUAACAAUAAAAGUUUUCCAGACAUCAUUACUACGUAUCACAUACAUAUACACACGUGCACACAGAACAGGAGAAAAAGUUGGUCUUAAGACAGAAAACAACGUUUUCAUUGUUUAGAACCGUUGCUUGAUUUGCAUACCGUAUUGUCCUGAAGGUUUUCCAGAAUUUUAACCACAUCUUUUAUGUCUGGCCGAAAUUUUGGCUCCCCUGAUACGCAUUCGUAUGCAAGUUGAGCUACUUUUAAUGCACUGCUUCCCGAAUGCUCACCUAAAAUGGCAGGAUUCAAAAUUUGGGAAAUUUUGCGUCUGUCAGUAAUGCUUCUUGCCCACGUACCUAGAUGUCUUUGUCCAGAUUGCCUGUUCCAUUCUAUUGCUCGUCUUCCAGAUAACAUUUCAAGAAGAACAACCCCGAAACUGUAUAUAUCACUUUUUUUGCUAAUAUGACCUUCAUAAGAAACAACAAAGUGACAAAAAAACAAGAUAAGAGUUCCAUUUUUUUUUCUUAUAUAAUACUCUAGUGAAAUAGAAACCAAAUGAUACCUGCCCGGAUGUAUUCAGGUGCUGCAUACCCUUGGCCAUAACCCCCCAUGACCCGUGUAGUGACAUGGCUUUUACCUAUUGGCCCAUCCUUAGCCAAUCCUAAAUCACAUAGUUUGGCAUUAUAGUCCUGUCAUUUUUACAAUAUGAGUAAAGAAAAUGUGUUAGUUAUAAUAUUUCAAUUCCAUAACUCCCUCAUAAACCAAAUUCAGUAAUAGAGCAUUUUCACAUACUGAAUCAAGCAGGAUAUUCGAAGAUCUAAAAUCUCGAUGUAUUACAUCUGAAUCCAAGCCCAAUCCAAAAUAUUAAGCCCAAUUCUAAAAAAUCACAAAAUGGAUUCAACAAAUACAUAUAACCCAAGUCGUACAAAUUGAAUAAAUUGUUAUUCAAACUUUGGUCAACUUGACUUGAAUCCAUUAUAUGUCUUCCAUUAUGUAUUUAAUCUUAACGCAAUUAUUUAAACAUCAAGAUAAUGUCAUUAACUUAAAUCAAAAUCCAUGUAAUAUAUAAAAGGAGAGUGAGAUAUAUAUUAAUUAUAUAGCAAUGCAUCCUUUCAUUCCUUAACAUGAUAUUAAAAAAUACAUAUUAAAAAUAAAAAAUACACACACAUAUAUGUAUAAUUAAAAAUAAAACUUUUCUUUUUAUACAAGUAUAAUCUCAAUUUUUUACGAAAAUUUAUCUAUUAAGAUGAGAUAAAAAUGAGAAUGAGAAAUGACACCGUUAUAAAUCUUAUUAUCAUUUUUAGGAAUAGUGUGUGUAUUUUUUUUUAUGCAAGUCAUACCAUGCAUGCUUUUUGUUAUACCUUGGUGAAACACUUUUGCAAAUUACUUAAAAAGACACAUUUUAAUAUUACAACUUUUUUAGCAUAUCUCAAAAGAUAUAAUUUUGUAAUGCAUUUCACGAUUAUUUUAUUAUAUGAUUUUGUUAUUUUUUGAAUGUUGUAAUAAAAGAUAAUUUCAUCUAGGGAUGGAAGUGAGACGGGUGUUUUCGGGUAUUCACCUAGUCCAAUCUAUUUAAUGAAGGUACAGAUAGUUAUAAAUGUGUUUUAGAUAGAUACGGGUGGUAAAAUUACUAACCGUAAUAGAUACGGUAGCGUACGAAUAUUAGAUUCUGUGUGUCUGCUAUGCAUUAUCUGCUAUAAUAAAUAGUUUUGGCUGUGGGUACCCGUGGGCACUCUACCCAUUUAUUAGUGAAAAAUGCAUUUUAAAUAAAUUCAUGUUUGGAUAGUUUAAAAUGUGCGGAUACCCUAUCCAUUUAAGGGGUACUUUAAACGGGUUUGUGAUGAAUUUGAGUAGUAAAAUUUUAAAUGGGUUUAGAUAUGGAUAAUUAAAUGGAUAUUUAAAUGUUGAGAUGGAUACAAUAGUAAAAUUUUAAACGAAUAUGGACAGUUCAAAAUUCAUUAAUAUAUGCCCAGCUUCCCUCCCUAAUUUCAUUUUGUUCCAACACUAAUUUGUUUAAAAAUCAAAUUUUUAUACAAGUACCAUCCUAAAUUUACACCAAAUAAUUAAAAAGCCCUGAUUAAUGAAAUAAUAUAAUAUUUUUAAUUAACAAAAAUUAUUUAAUUUAAAAACAAAACAUCUAAAGAAAACCUGAAAAAUAUUUGGUACUUUUAACUAAUACAAUGUAUUAGUUAAAAUAUUAAAAAUUAUUGUUUUAAUUUUAUUUUUAGUAAAAAUUUUGUAUUUUCGAUCAUUGACCGCAAAGGUGAGAGGUAGUUAUACAAAAAAAAUUGAUUUUUGUAAAAAUUGUAUAUUACCCUAAGUUCAGAGGGUAAUUUAAGCAUUAUUUUAAUUCAAAACAAUAAUAAACGAUUAUUUAAUUAAUACUUUUAUAUACAACAGUUGAAUUAUUUUAUAAUACAAUGAUUCAGAAAAUAAAUGUAUAAGUUCUUAACAAUUCAAGAUUAUAAAUUUUUUUAUGAAGAAUUAGGUUCUUUAAUAAAAAAAGAUUUAAAAUGUAUAAUCUUAGGAUAUAAAUUAUAGUAAAUUUCAAAACAUUUUGACACGAAAAUUUAUUGAAAAACUUUAUAACUUAAACUGUUGGGUCAUUAAUAAAUCAGAGACUAUAGAAAUACUUAAGAAUUAUCCCAAAAAAAAGCGUCAAAACCCAAAUAUAUUUAAAGGUAUGAAUUUCAAUAAUUUUUUUUUUAAGAACGAAAGUUAACAAUAAAAGUUUUCCAGACAUCAUUACUACGUAUCACAUACAUAUACACACGUGCACACAGAACAGGAGAAAAAGUUGGUCUUAAGACAGAAAACAACGUUUUCAUUGUUUAGAACCGUUGCUUGAUUUGCAUACCGUAUUGUCCUGAAGGUUUUCCAGAAUUUUAACCACAUCUUUUAUGUCUGGCCGAAAUUUUGGCUCCCCUGAUACGCAUUCGUAUGCAAGUUGAGCUACUUUUAAUGCACUGCUUCCCGAAUGCUCACCUAAAAUGGCAGGAUUCAAAAUUUGGGAAAUUUUGC